UACCAGAAACUUAGUUCGCUAGUACGAGCGUUCUUAGUCAUGUCGCCGUGACAUCGUUCGGACCCCGGGCCCCGCAGAGCGACCCGACCGAGGCGGGGACCAUCGUACAUACAUUCUCGAACGACGUGGGACACGGUCGAGUGGGCUCAAGCUCAGGACCGAGUCUACGCGCCACGAGCACCUCAAAGAGAAUAUUUUUACGGUUGCUCCCAAUCGGAAAGCCAAUCGUGUUACCGGCCGACCUCCUUCCGCACCGACAGGCACGACCUGGCCUUGCCGCCGCCGCCGCCCCCGUCGUCGCCGAGGGAGGGCCGCGUGGAGUUGCCGGAGGAGAGGAGCAGGAGGAGGAGGAGGAGGAGGAGGAGGAGGGAGCGGUGGCGGGUGUUGCAUGAGCGGAUGGAGGGGCAGGUGAUGGGGCACUGGUCCGACGGGGUAGGUGGGUUCGGCCUACGUUAAGUUUUAAGUUGCGUCGACGUCGACGUAGCUGGCCGCCUUGGUGCAGGAGGGGUAGCGGCGCGGACCUAGAGUUCUAAAGAAGUACUAAGUGGUUACUUAGAGCUCCUUCCCCUCCUCCUGCUGCUCACACCCCCGUCUCCCUGUAUACCGCAAUGGCUAAGAGGAAGGAGUUCAAGACGUAGAGUUCAAGUACAGGGCCUAUAACUGUUGUGGCUGUCAGUGUCUCUUGGGGGUAGACUUAGCGUCGCGUGAGGUUGAGGCACCGGAGUUUCUUAAAAACAAUAACUCCUCAACAGCCAACUACAAUGUUCUGGAGGGCAAUACUAGUCGCUAGUAUUUGUAUCAGACUGAGCCGUUCUAUGGGCUGGUGGCGCGGAGUAAUAACCCUUCCUUUUCACGAAACCUCUUCCGGUACUCUUUAAUGCGUCUAGCCCGUUUCGGAUGUUAGAGAGCACGCCACAGGCACCUGUCGAAAACAAGUAAUGGGAACUUCACGCAGGGUCCAGCCUCUAGCGGUCUCCUCCUUCUGCCGCCGCUCACAAGGAUGUGCAGCGAAGAAGCAGGAGUUCGGUUCUACCUCUCUUUAGACGAUCACUGCGUCUUAGACUUCAAGGCCUCCGGUGCGGUCUGAAGACCGGAAGGUUGAGGCACCAAGCCUUCCUUUGGAUAACCACCGACUACCAACAUCCCACCGAACCCAAUGUUCUACUCCAGCGUUGACUUGACGUACUGGUUCUAUACGGACAGUAUGGUCCUCGUUGAUAAGAUAGUUCGAGUUACUUACAUCAUGGUGCGUUCUCCCCAGCUUCAUCCGGUUACUUGCGUUCUCGUUUCGAUCCAAUACUCUUACAGUCGUUCCCUUCUAGUUUCAAAACAAGAUAAACGUCUCCCAGUUACGUGAAACUUGGUUACACAGACCAUGUAGUGGUAUACAUGGGGCUUAUACCUAGAGAACGUGAACUGGUACUUCUCGAAAUU
rnacentral:rRNA from 1 species